rnacentral:pre_miRNA from 1 species
AUUUGAAUCACCUGGGAUCUUGUCAAAAUGCAAAUUCUGACUCAGCAGGUCUAGGAUGAAGUCUGAGGUACUGCAUUUCUCACAAGCUCCCAGGUGAUGUUGAU